UGGGGAAUAUUGCACAAUGGGCGCAAGCCUGAUGCAGCCAUGCCGCGUGUAUGAAGAAGGCCUUCGGGUUGUAAAGUACUUUCAGCGGGGAGGAAGGGAGUAAAGUUAAUACCUUUGCUCAUUGACGUUACCCGCAGAAGAAGCACCGGCUAACUCCGUGCCAGCAGCCGCGGUAAUACGGAGGGUGCAAGCGUUAAUCGGAAUUACUGGGCGUAAAGCGCACGCAGGCGGUUUGUUAAGUCAGAUGUGAAAUCCCCGGGCUCAACCUGGGAACUGCAUCUGAUACUGGAAAGCUUGAGUCUCGUAGAGGGGGGUAGAAUUCCAGGUGUAGCGGUGAAAUGCGUAGAGAUCUGGGGGAAUACCGGUGGCGAAGGCGGCCCCCUGGACGAAGACUGACGCUCAGGUGCGAAAGCGUGGGGAGCAAACAGG
rnacentral:rRNA from 1 species